AACGCGAAGAACCUUACCAGGCCUUGACAUGGGGAGUAUGGAUAGCAGAAAAGUUAUCCUUCAGUUUGGCUGGCUCCCACACAGGUGCUGCAUGGCUGUCGUCAGCUCGUGUCGUGAGAUGUUGGGUUAAGUCCCGCAACGAGCGCAACCCUCAUCCUUAGUUGCCAACACAUUAUGGUGGGAACUCUAAGGAAACUGCCGGUGAUAAGCCGGAGGAAGGUGGGGAUGACGUCAAGUCUUCAUGGCCCUUACGGCCUGGGCUACACACGUGCUACAAUGGCGGUGACAAUGGGCAGCCAACUCGCGAGAGUGAGCUAAUCCCAAAAAGCCGUCUCAGUUCGGAUUGCACUCUGCAACUCGAGUGCAUGAAGCUGGAAUCGCUAGUAAUCGUAGAUCAGCAUGCUACGGUGAAUACGUUCCCGGGCCUUGUACACACCGCGUGUCU
rnacentral:rRNA from 1 species